rnacentral:rRNA from 1 species
CUACGUGCCAGCAGCCGCGGUCAUACGUAGGGUGCAAGCAUUAUCCGGAGUGACUGGGCGUAAAGAGUUGCGUAGGCGGUUUAAUAAGUGAAUAGUGAAACCUGGUGGCUCAACCAUACAGACUAUUAUUCAAACUGUUAAACUCGAGAAUGGUAGAGGUAACUGGAAUUUCUAGUGUAGGAGUGAAAUCCGUAGAUAUUAGAAGGAACACCGAUGGCGUAGGCAGGUUACUGGGCCAUUUCUGACGCUAAGGCACGAAAGCGUGGGGAGCGAACCGGAUUAGAUACCCGGGUAGUCCACGCCGUAAACGAUGGAUACUAGCUGUUGGAGGUAUCGACCCCUUCAGUAGCGAAGCUAACGCGUUAAGUAUCCCGCCUGUGGAGUACGGCCGCAAGGCUAAAACAUAAAGGAAUUGACGGGGACCCGCACAAGCGGUGGAUUAUGUUCUUUAAUUCGAUGAUAACCGAAGAACCUUACCAGGGCUUGACAUCC